AGAGUUUGAUCCUGGCUCAGGACGAACGCUGGCGGCGUGCCUAAUACAUGCAAGUCGAGCGGGCUGAUCCUUCGGGAGAGGCUAGCGGCGGACGGGUGAGUAACACGUAGGCAACCUGCCUGUAAGAUCGGGAUAACUACCGGAAACGGUAGCUAAGACCGGAUAACUGGUGCUCUCGCAUGAGAGGAUCAUGAAACACG
rnacentral:rRNA from 1 species